AGCAAUUUGGCGCAGUGGAAGCGCGGUAUGUUUACUACUAUCUGCAUCACAUCAACCAUUACUAACAGACGCAGCCGGGCUCAUAACCCGGAGGUCGCACGAUCGAAACGUGCAAUUGCUA